CUACGGGAGGCUGCAGUGGGGAAUAUUGCACAAUGGAGGAAACUCUGAUGCAGCAACGCCGCGUGGAGGAUGACACUUUUCGGAGCGUAAACUCCUUUUAUAUAGGAAGAAGAUGACGGUACUAUAUGAAUAAGCGCCGGCUAACUCCGUGCCAGCAGCCGCGGUAAUACGGAGGGCGCAAGCGUUACUCGGAAUCACUGGGCGUAAAGAGCGUGUAGGCGGAUUAAAAAGUCAGAAGUGAAAUCCUAUAGCUUAACUAUAGAACUGCUUCUGAAACUCUUAAUCUAGAAUAUGGGAGAGGUAGAUGGAAUUUCUGGUGUAGGGGUAAAAUCCGUAGAGAUCAGAAGGAAUACCGAUUGCGAAGGCGAUCUACUAGAACAUUAUUGACGCUGAGACGCGAAAGCGUGGGGAGCAAACAGGUUUAGAUACCCGUGUAGUC
rnacentral:rRNA from 1 species